AGCAUAAGGAGUUCCAUUACUAAGGUGCUGCCGGACCUGUCUGCCUCAAUCCUUGAAAUUGUACUGGAGGCACUACAAUCAUUAGGAGUGGAGACAUCUGAGAAACAAACCACACCAAAUAUGGAAAUUUCAAGCCAGGCCAGCAUAUCGUCUCCAUCUGUUUUAAGGUUUAAGGGUGGUGGCACAGCUAAGACCCAAGACUCUCUUUCAAGACACUGAAUUUGAGCAGAAACCAUAAGGAUACUCAAAGGACCUGUGACUCUCAGGAAAUGCAUCAAAUGAGAGAGACAGAUGAAACAGUUUCAAGACAAUGGCAGGAAAAAAAAGCUGAAGAUUGAAACAAACCUUGGCUGGAAAUAUUUGAAGGUAUCUAGCCAGUCCACAAUGAAAGCUUCGUUGCACCCAAUGAGUCUUCUGGCAGAAAUGAUGGCGGCUGUAUUCUUUGGUUUCCCUAAACAUCACACCCUGCCUGUUUAUACGAGGCUCUUCAAUUAAGUCUGCACCCAAAGAUUCAAUAAGAGAGGGGAUCCUGCCAGUCCAAAGUGAACUCCUGAUGGACAUUGAAGUACUCCUGCAGAGCUUGUAUCUUCAACACCAUGCGCAUUAGAAACUCCACCGAGUCCUUUCCUUCACCAAGGCAGGACCCAGUGACUCAUUACUGUUGAUAGGUCAGGGGCAGGUAAUAUUUUGUUUCAUGUUUAUUCAUUCCUCCAUGGAUUACCAGCCAUAUAUAUGGACACAUGCUGUAUUCUCAAGAUCUAUGCUGUUUUGUAGGAAUAGAGAAAAUAAUAUGUUUAGUCUGUUUUCAAAUGGUAUGUCAAAUUUUCUCAUUGUUUAUC